UUAAUUCUGUUAUCUCUAUAGAGAUACCAGUUUCAAAUGCAACCUGAAAAUUAAACAAGACUUUAAUAUAUCGUCCAUGUUCUUGGAAGCAAGUCAGAGUUGAACAGUGCAAAAUCUCAAAAAUGGGCCAAUGGUUCAUAACAUUUAUUGCGCUCCUCGUAAUCCAAACUGGAAUUCAUGCUGAAACUGAUACCUCCAAGAUUACUGUAGCCACACCACUUGGAUUAGUUGAAGGAUAUGUUGUAAACACCAUCAACUCAAAUCCUUUCUAUAAAUUUGAAGGCGUUCCGUUUGCUAAACCGCCUAUUGGAAAAUUAAGAUUUGAAGAUCCUCAAGAUGUGGAACCAUGGAACGAGACUUUGAAAGCAAAUUCCAUGAUAAAAUGUAUGCAGUACGACCAUUUUCAGCAAGAAAUCGACAAAACAUACGUUGUACAUGGGAACGAAGACUGUUUGUAUGUUAACAUCUACACUCAUACUACGAACUUAAGUGCAAACUUAGAUGUACUCGUUCAUAUUCAUGGCGGAGCAUUUAUGUUUGGCGGGGGAGGAAGUUACGGCCCAUACAUUAUUAUGGACAGGAAUAUCGUAUUUGUAACCUUCAACUACAGAUUGGGACCUUUAGGUUUCGCAACUACAGAAGACGACAUUUUGCCCGGAAAUGUGGGCUUAAAAGAUCAAACUAAAGCGUUAAAGUGGAUAAAGGAAAACAUAAAAUAUUUUGGAGGAAAUCCUGAUACAAUUACUAUUCAUGGCCUAUCUGCUGGGGGUGCCAGCGUCCAUUUGCAUUACAUGCUGCCAGCUUCCAGAGGUCUUUUCAUCCAUGGAAUAUCACAAAGUGGAUGUGCCCUAAAUCCGUGGGUAUUAGCGGAAAACGUUAAAGAAAAGACUGCAAAAGUAGCCAGUUUACUCGGAUGUCCAACAUCAAAUUCGAAAGAAAUUAAAACGUGUUUGAAAAGUAAACCUGCGAGAGAAAUUGUUCGGGCCACAAGAGUAUUUCAGCCAUUUCUAUACAAUCCAUUUUCCCCAUUCGGGGUGGUGGUGGAUGGAAAAUGGGCUUCCAACCCAGUGUUACCAGAGCAUCCGUACAUGCUGCUUAAAAAAGGAAAAAUUUUGGACCUUCCAUGGAUAGUAUCUUACACCCAUGAUGAAGGUUUAUAUCCUGCUGCAGAUUUUUGGGCUGAUAAACAGCAUUUAAUCGACAUUGACACAAAAUGGAACGAAAUAAUGCCUUUUAUAUUGCACUACAAUGAAAGUGCUCCAUCGGACUUAAAAGAUGAAAUAUCUCAACGAAUAAGAGAACAUUACUUGGGGAGUAAACAGGUCAAUCGGCAAACCUAUUCCACUUUAGUCGAGAUACUAAGUGAUAGAUUAUAUAUAUCCGACAUAGGUAAAGCUGCCAAAUUACACAACAGAGCAUCAAAGUCUAAUGUAUUUGUCUACAGCUACAACUAUCGCGCCAGCAAAAGUAUUUCGGAAUAUGGAUCAAAAUCAACAGACAACAUUGAUUGUGAGCGAUCGUUUGUUUAAAGCUGAUAUAGAAACGUCCGCCAGGUUACAAAACGCUGUUGUAAGAUCAGAUAUUUACUGUUACACAUUCACCUAUCGAGGUAGAGUCAGCAAAUCUACUGCAAGAGCCAAAUCCGUGGUAAACUUAGGAGUUUCUCACGGCGACGAUACCAUCUACGUCUUCAGUACUAAAUUUGAUACAAACUCCACUGAGAAAGACAGAGAAAUGAGCAAAACUUUAAUUGACAUGAUCACAUCAUUUAUGAAAGAAGGAAAACCUAACAUAACAACCAAAUGGCAACCUUUGAUCAAACGACACAGCGGACUGCUCAGCCAAUUAAACAUUGCUGGGCCAGAAGACUAUGAAAUGGAACACGUAAAUGAAAUUGGCAAUCGGGAGUUUUGGAACCGCCUUCCUCUGGCAGAAAAUCAUAAUAUAAAUGAGUUUUCGAAUCAUGAAGAAUUUUAAUAAUACAUUUUCCAUUAAUUAGUUUUGCGCAAAGUCGUAUAGACAAACCAUAUAUUUUGAAAAGUAUUUCAAACAUUAAUCGUUAAUUUUUUUAAUCGAAUACGUUGUAUCUUAUUACAUGUUUUAGAAACGAUAUUUUUAGAUUUUGCAAAAAGCAUUUUACCUUUUAAACAGGCUUAAUAGUUUUGGACCUGAAGCAAUGGAAACAUUUUAUAGCUCUGUUUUUGGUUCGAUAAUAAAUAUGUCUACAAACA
rnacentral:misc_RNA from 1 species